UCGAGAUAUAAAAAUAAAUAAAUAUAUAUUUGUUUGUUUGUUAAAUCAUUAAUAAAAAUGAUACCGUGAAAUUAUAAUUCACUGUUAGUAGCCAAUCUAGUUCUAUUUUGUUAAAUUAGCUGAGAAACAAGGUUGAUGAAUUGUGCACUUGCGAGUGAAUAUUUGGACCUCAUUGAAUACGUAUUCAUGUGACAUUCAAUUCAACCCCUAGCUGAAGAAUGGUUAACGAUGUAUUAAGCUAUUAAAAUUGUAAGGGUUUUGCAGAACAAAUAGUCUUGCCUACUUUUGCUGUUAAUCGCAGGCUCAACAAAAAUCAGGAAAAAAUAUUAAAAUUUUCCUCUAGAUACUAUCUUUUGACUGGUACUAUAAAAAGCUUCUGUCAAAAGUGGGUAAAAAUCCAGGAUGGUUUAUAAAAUCUAAUGUUUUAAAAACUUUAACUGCAUAAAUGUUAACUGGGAAAAAACUAGUUUAACACCGCCACAUUAUGUAUGUAUGUGCCUGUCCCAAGUUAGGAGCCUGUAGUUCAGUGGUUGUCGUUUGUUUAUAUGUUACAUAUUUGUUUUUUGUUCAUUUUUUUACAUAAAUAAGGCCGUUAGUUUUCUCGUUUGAAUUGUUUUACAUUGUCUUAUCGGGGCCUUUUAUAGCUGACCAUGCGGUAUGGGCUUUGCUCAUUGUUGAAGGUAGUCCAUUUAUCAUGUUUAUAAGUAAUAUAGGGGGAAAAGAAGAUUUUUUUUACAAUCUUUACUUUCGGAUAUUACCUUAUGAUCAUAAACAUUUAGCUUCUGUCCAAGUUUGAUAGAAAUCCAAGAUAUUUGGAGAAAGUUAUUUUAAAGUUUUAAACCACAGUACAUGAUUGAGAUUUUAGUUUAACAAAAUUAUGAAAAUCAAUUUUGGAUUGAUAUCAUUGUCUUGCAUGCAUAUAUUUACGAAGUUUCAAGACCUAUAAAACAACCAUUUUCCAGUUUCAAUUCAAAAACACUAAAGAGUAUGCACUUUUGAUGUGCCUUAUUUUCCUACAUCCUCAAGUAAGCUCCCUUAAAAUCCCUACCCCUUUACUUUCUUAUUUGGUAUCUUGAGGUAUGUUUUUCAUUUUAAAACAAAAAACAUCAAUUAGUAAAUAGCUGUAAAAAUGAAAAA
rnacentral:lncRNA from 1 species